GUGCUCACUUCAGCGCCCAUAUACUAAAAUCGGAAUGCUACAGAGAAGAUUAGCAUGGCCCUUGCACAAGGAUAACAUGCCAGCAUUCCAUAUUUUU
rnacentral:snRNA from 1 species